GAGGACAGGUGCUGCAUGGCUGUCGUCAGCUCGUGUUGUGAAAUGUUGGGUUAAGUCCCGCAACGAGCGCAACCCUUAUCCUUUGUUGCCAGCGGUCCGGCCGGGAACUCAAAGGAGGACUGCCAGUAGAUAAACUGGAGGAAGGUGGGACGACGUCAAGUCAUCAUGGCCCUUACGACCACGGGCUACACACGUGCUACAAUGGCGCAUACAAAGAGAAAGCGACCUCGCGAGAGCAAGCGGACCUCAUAAAGUGCGUCGUAGUCCGGAUUGGAGUCUGCAACUCGACUCCAUGAAGUCGGAAUCGCUAGUAAUCGUGGAUCAGAAUGCCACGGUGAAUACGUUCCCGGGCCUU
rnacentral:rRNA from 1 species